UUUCUACUCCCUCCGUCCGAAAAUACUUGUCAUCAAAAUGGAUAAAAAGAGAUGUAUCUAAAACUAAAAUACGUCUAGAUACAUUUCCUUUUAUCCAUUUUGAUGACAAGUAUUCCCGGACAGAGGGAGUAUUUG
rfam:Triticum aestivum genome assembly, contig: Triticum_aestivum_CS42_TGACv1_scaffold_129867_2BL